AGAAUCAACGCUGGCGGUGUGCCUAACACAUGCAAGUCGAACGCGAAAGUCCCGCAAGGGGCAAGUAGAGUGGCAAACGGGUGAGUAACACGUGGGUGACCUGCCUUCGAGUGGGGGAUAACGUCCCGAAAGGGACGCUAAUACCGCAUGACAUCCUGCCUUUGGAAAGGCGGAGAUCAAAGCCGGGGAUCGCAAGACCUGGCGCUUGAAGAGGGGCCCGCGCCUGAUUAGCUAGUUGGUAGGGUAACGGCCUACCAAGGCGACGAUCAGUA
rnacentral:rRNA from 1 species